CUGCUCCCUCAGAAUAUUAUAAAGAGGAAUAGAAACAGGAACAUAGAGGAAGCCAGCGUGCCUGAACAAGGUGAUAGGUCCAGGCUCCCUGGUCUCUCCUAUACAAGUAGGGGACUGAAAAGGUGACUAUUCAGAAGAUUGAGCUGAUAGGAAGGAGAUAGUAGCUCCAUCUAUCAGUCAUAUGUGAGCUCCAGAACUUGUGAUGUCUUGGUCCUUAGCCCCAGGGCUUAAGAAGACAAUGCUUCUUAUCCUAUCCAAGUAAAAUGAUGAAUGUGUGAAGAAUCGCAGUUGCCCAUGCAUAAUAGGAACUUGAAGUUCCUGCUUCUCCAAUCAAUGCAGCAGUGUGAUAAUUGAAGUUGCUUGCUCUGGCUUUUGGUUGCAUCUGAGUUCUGGACACUUGCACCUCCUGUGGACCUCCUUGUGUCUCUUCAUCAUUGCUGCUGGUGAGGAUCAGAGAAGGCACAUAUCUCACUGAAUGUAAGGACAAGGAGCAAGGUUACUGCAGGAAUACUUUCUGAAGAUCUUCUAAACCAGGUCUGCUGGCCUAAAAAGACCACUCUUGCAGAAGACAUGCAGGAUACCAAGGAUUAUUUGGACUGCUACUGGCACAACACAUCAUCUGUACUGAAAUGUCUGUAAGUCCUGGAAAGGCCAGAGUUCUCAUGGCUGGUGCAAAAGAAGCUUGGAGUUCAGAUGGAGAUGCAGAUACCGCAAAAGAAAAACUGCACAGCUACAACAGUUUUUGAGGGUUUGAAUCACAGAAUGAAGACUUCCAGAACACGCAGUGGAGGCAAACAGACCAUUCUACUCAGUGGAAGUAGGAAGGCUGAAAAGGGUAAAACCAGGACAUAUUUCCCAUGAUCACACUCUGCAGUCAGAUGACUAUGUGACGAAAGCAAGAAAAUGAUUACCUAAAGUUUGAAGCAGAAAAGAUAGAUCUAAGCUGAGAUGAUGGUGAGAGGCUUCCAUACACUUAGGAAGAAUUUAGCCUUUCAAUUAGGGAAAAAUCUUCACAACAGUAUAUUAGAGAUGGCCUUACUGAUACAAUGGGUAUUCAGAAGACCACAAAGUGCUUUAAUUCUAUGACUGGAUGUGUUGAAUAACAAAAAAGCUACUUUAAAAUACUAA